UGUAAUGAUUCUGCGUCACAGAUAAACAAGGUUACCGUGCCGGAAUUUUUAGUCCAGGCCGUUUUUUGUUUCGUCUGUUUAUCGGCAGGACAAGUAUUUUUGUGUUUCAUGUCUCUCCCGCAUUUACACUAUAAUGUCAAAUUGUAUCGAUCGAAAGCGCAUUUGAUUGAUGUAACUGAGAUCUUUGAUAACAAGUUCAACUGGAAAGAGGAACGACUUAUUAAAUUUGGCUAUCUUAUUAUCAUUUUUGUUUUUUUUUUUAUCUAUGUUGCUUUGUGUUGUAGGACUUUAUGAUUGUUAAACAGGUUU